rnacentral:rRNA from 1 species
CCGUCGUGAAGAGGGAAACAACCCAGACCGCCAGCUAAGGUCCCAAAGUCAUGGUUAAGUGGGAAACGAUGUGGGAAGGCCCAGACAGCCAGGAUGUUGGCUUAGAAGCAGCCAUCAUUUAAAGAAAGCGUAAUAGCUCACUGGUCGAGUCGGCCUGCGCGGAAGAUGUAACGGGGCUAAACCAUGCACCGAAGCUGCGGCAGCGACGCUGAUGCGUUGUUGGGUAGGGGAGCGUUCUGUAAGCCUGUGAAGGUGGCCUGUGAGGGUUGCUGGAGGUAUCAGAAGUGCGAAUGCUGACAUAAGUAACGAUAAAGCGGGUGAAAAGCCCGCUCGCCGGAAGACCAAGGGUUCCUGUCCAACGUUAAUCGGGGCAGGGUGAGUCGACCCCUAAGGCGAGGCCGAAAGGCGUAGUCGAUGGGAAACGGGUUAAUAUUCCCGUACUUGGUGUUACUGCGAAGGGGGGACGGAGAAGGCUAUGUUGGCCGGGCGACGGUUGUCCCGGUUUAAGCGUGUAGGUGUGUGUUCCAGGUAAAUCCGGUUCACUUUAAC